GAUGAACGCUGGCUACAGGCUUAACACAUGCAAGUCGAGGGGAAACGACGGGGAAGCUUGCUUCCCCGGGCGUCGACCGGCGCACGGGUGAGUAACGCAUAUCCAACCUGCCUCUGACUGAGGGAUAACCCGUCGAAAGUCGGCCUAAUACCUCAUGGCAUCGUCUGCGGGCAUCCAACGACGAUUAAAGAUUUCAUCGGUCAGGGAUGGGGAUGCGUCUGAUUAGCUAGUUGGCGGGGUACCGGCCCACCAAGGCGACGAUCAGUAGGGGUUCUGAGAGGAAGGUCCCCCACAUGGGAACUGAGACACGGUCCAAACUCCUACGGGAGGCAGCAGUGAGGAAUAUUGGUCAAUGGGCGAGAGCCUGAACCAGCCAAGUAGCGUGCAGGAUGACGGCCCUAUGGGUUGUAAACUGCUUUUAUGCGGGGAUAAAGUGAGGGACGUGUCCUUCAUUGCAGGUACCGCAUGAAUAAGGACCGGCUAAUUCCGUG
rnacentral:rRNA from 1 species